ACUCAAAUGAAUUGACGGGGGCCCGCACAAGCGGUGGAGUAUGUGGUUCAAUUCGACGCAACGCGAAGAACCUUACCAGUCCUUGACAUGUCCACUAUGGGUCUGAGAGAUCAGAUCCUUCACUUCGGGUGGGUGGAACACAGGUGCUGCAUGGCUGUCGUCAGCUCGUGUCGUGAGAUGUUGGGUUAAGUCCCGCAACGAGCGCAACCCUCAUCUUCAGUUGCCCACGGGUCAGGCCGGGCACUCUGAAGAAACCGCCGGUGACAAGCCGGAGGAAGGCGGGGAUGACGUCAAGUCCUCAUGGCCCUUACGGACUGGGCUACACACGUACUACAAUGGUGGUGACAGUGGGCAGCGAAAGCGCGAGCUGGAGCUAAUCCCCAAAAGCCAUCUCAGUUCAGAUUGCACUCUGCAACUCGAGUGCAUGAAGUUGGAAUCGCUAGUAAUCGCAGAUCAGCACGCUGCGGUGAAUACGUUCCCGGGCCUUGUACACACCGCCCGU
rnacentral:rRNA from 1 species